UAGCUCAGUUGGGAGAGCACCUGCCUUACAAGCAGGGGGUCACUGGUUCGAACCCGGUAUCGCCCACCAUAUUUGG
rnacentral:tRNA from 1 species